rnacentral:tRNA from 1 species
GCUCUGGUGGCUCAAUCGGAUAGAGCGUUUGACUUCUAAUCCAAAAGUUGCAGAUUCAAGUAUCACCCAGAGUA